CCUUGUAAGGACACUUGUCAUUGGAUUUAGGGCCCACCCAAUAAUCCAGGAUGGUCUCCUCUCGAGAUCCUUAACUUAAUUCUACCUGCAGACCCC